ACGAACGCUUGCGGCGUGCCUAAGAAAUGCAAGUCGACCGGACCAAUCAGUAAUGGUUGGUUAGUGGCCGAACGGUCGCGUAACACGUAAGCAACCUGCCUUCAAGUGGGGGACAACAGUCCGAAAGGGCUGCUAAUACCGCAUGUGGUCAUUCUGUUGCAUGACAGAUUGUCUAAAGGAUUUAUCGCUUGAAGAUGGGCUUGCGGCCUAUCAGGUAGUUGGUGGGUAACGGCCUACCAAGCCGACGACGGGUAGCUGGUCUGAGAGGACGAUCAGCAGGAUUGGGACUGAGAUAGCGGCCCAGACUCCUACGGGGGGCAGCAAUUAGGAAUCUUGCGCAAUGGGCGAAAGCCUGACGCAGCGACGCCGCGUGAAGGAUGAAGGUCUCGGAUCGUAAACUUCUUUUAAGAGGGAAGAAAUUUGACGGUACCUCUUGAAUAGCCCCGGCUAACUACGUGCCAGCAGCCGCGGUAAUACGUAGGGGGCGAGCGUUGUCCGAAGUUACUGGGCGUAAAGCGCGCGUAGGCGGUUCUUAAGUCUGGGGUGAAAGGUUCAGCGCUCAACGCGAACAGUGCCUUGGAUACUGGGAGACUUGAGUCUGGGAGGGGGACCAGUGGAAUUCCUAGGUUGUAGCGGUGAAAUGCGUAGAUAUCAGGAGGAACAACCGGUGGCGAGGCGGCUGCCUGGCCUAAGACUGACGCUGAUGUGCGAAAGCGUGGGGAGGCGAACGGGAUUAGAUACCCCGGUAGUCCACGCACCCGCGUUAAACGAUGAGUGCUAGGUGUCGUGGGGUAUCGACCCCCCCGGUGCCGUCGCUAACGCAUUAAGCACUCCGCCUGGGGAGUACGGCAGCAAGGUUGAAACUCAAAAGGAAUUGACGGGGGCCAGCACAAGCGGUGGAGCAUGUGGAUUAAGUCGUCACUAACGAAGAACCUUACCCAGGUUUGACAUCGAGGGAAAGCCUAUGAAAGUAGGCCCUCCGCAAGGGACCCGAAGACAGGUGUUGCAUGGCUGUCGUCAGCUCGUGUCGUGAGAUGUUGGGUUAAGUCCCGCAACGAGCGCAACCCUCACCGUAUGUUGCCAGCGUCAAGUCGGGGAACUCUUACGGAACUGCCCGUGCAAGCGGGAGGAAGGUGUGGAUGACGUCAAGUCGGCAUGGCCCUUACGCCUGGGGCUUCACACAUGCUACAAUGGACGGCAACAAAGGGGUGCGAGACCGCGAGGUGGAGCGAAUCCCAAAAAUCCGUCCUCAGUUCGGAUUGCAGGCUGCAACUCGCCUGCAUGAAGCUGGAAUCGCUAGUAACCGCAGGUCAGCUAAACUGCGGUGAAUACGUUCCCGGGCCUUGUACACACCGCCCGUCAAGUCACUGAAUUGUCUGCACCCGAAGCCGGUGGCCCAACCGUAAGGAGGGAGCCGUCUAAGGUGUGGGGAGUAAGGGGGACU
rnacentral:rRNA from 1 species